AAUAGAUAUUACUUGUGUAUGUAAUUUAAUGUUUUCAAAUAUUUUUAUACAAAUACGUCAAACUAUGCGACAAUAUUUUGAAAGCUAGAUCGUGCAGAAGUCGCUUCUGAGUCAGUAUUGAGCAAUAAGAAUUAUUCGGAUGAUUUUUUCAAUAAUCUUAAGUUACUGUCAGGCUCAAUGCAAUAAACACGAUCAAAAGAACAUUUAAAGCUAUAAUGUGUAUUCACUUUUAAUUGUAAACACAAACGAUUAAAAAAUUUACGUGUAUAAGUAUUUUUCCUCUAUGAAGGCUAAAACGUUAUGUGGAAAAGAAUAGUCAAUCAUCAAUAACGUUCAUAACUUGUACUAUUGAACAAGUCGUGCUGGGUAAA